UACGGAGGAUCCGAGCGUUAUCCGGAUUUAUUGGGUUUAAAGGGAGCGUAGGUGGAUUGUUAAGUCAGUUGUGAAAGUUUGCGGCUCAACCGUAAAAUUGCAGUUGAAACUGGCAGUCUUGAGUACAGUAGAGGUGGGCGGAAUUCGUGGUGUAGCGGUGAAAUGCUUAGAUAUCAGGAGGAACAUCGGUGGCGUAAGCGCUUUACUGGGCCGUAAUUGACGCUGAGGAACGAAAGCCAGGGUAGCAAAUGGG
rnacentral:rRNA from 1 species